GAUGAACGCUGGCGGCGUGCCUAAUACAUGCAAGUCGAGCGAACGGACGAGAAGCUUGCUUCUCUGAUGUUAGCGGCGGACGGGUGAGUAACACGUGGAUAACCUACCUAUAAGACUGGGAUAACUUCGGGAAACCGUAGCUAAUACCGGAUAAUAUUUUGAACCGCAUGGUUCAAAAGUGAAAGACGGUCUUGCUGUCACUUAUAGAUGGAUCCGCGCUGCAUUAGCUAGUUGGUAAGGUAACGGCUUACCAAGGCAACGAUGCAUAGCCGACCUGAGAGGGUGAUCGGCCACACUGGAACUGAGACACGGUCCAGACUCCUACGGGAGGCAGCAGUAGGGAAUCUUCCGCAAUGGGCGAAAGCCUGACGGAGCAACGCCGCGUGAGUGAUGAAGGUCUUCGGAUCGUAAAACUCUGUUAUUGGGAAGAACAUAUGUGUAAGUAACUGUGCACAUCUUGACGGUACCUAAUCAGAAAGCCACGGCUAACUACGUG
rnacentral:rRNA from 1 species